GCGGGUCUGUCGCGGGAGGAAGCGGCGCGGGCUGCGGGCGCUGCACGCCGCGCGGUUGUUGUGAUACAGCCUCCGCCACGUGACUGCGCGGGGCCCGCCUUCCUUGCGCGCGGUGCCUCCUCACGGUGACUCAGCACUUUGUGCGGGCUCGGAGCCGAAGGUCUAACCCAGGGAGGCUGAUUUGGGGCAAAGUCUUGGUGGUUAUUCCUGCCCCCGGGCUGCGGAUGCCUCUAUCGCUGUGGUCACACUUCAGCUACGCCAGGCCUCCAGGCAAGGAGGCUCUGUAGUCCCAUCGUUACCCAUUUCCUCCUCAUCUCGGUUUCUCAGAGAUCAAAUAAGCAAAGCAUAGGGAUAGUGCCCAGGGGUCUCUGAGGAGGGCAUUCCUGGAUUAAGUCACUUGAGGCCACCUACCCCUGCCUUACUGCACUCUUUGGCCUGAGUGUACCUUGUCCCUGAAUUUUUCUCAGGUCUCAACAAAUUACUGUGCACAGCAUACCAGCUUCAUGCCGGACUCUUGGUUUCAUCUGGAAUCCAAAGAGCAGUGCUGGCUGUUCUGGAUUGCUGCGUUUUCUGGAUGAGGCCACCGAGAUACUAAUAAUACUAAGCACAGGUAGUGACCCCUGCGAUCUGAACUCAACUGUAGUUUCAAAGCUUGUGUCUUUCUUUUACUCCACAGAGCCUGGAUGAAGCUGAUGGCCCUUUUCAGUGGAACUCUUACAGGUAUUUGGUCACAUCAGCAGAAGACUGACCACCACAAUCCUGAAAAUGGAGACUAUAGACAUUCCUUAGCCACUUGUCUUUUAUUCCAAAUUAUCUAGCUAUUCUAAAUUAUGGGACUUUGAAUAUACAAAUAAAAACAAAAAAAAAAACCCAUGCUUGUCAUAUGUAAUAUAACUGUUUCACAGUGAUUGGCAUGGACAAUUAUUAUUGUUAAAGUAGGUCAAGUGUUCAAAGGUAAAGUCAUUAAGAUAUGUAUUUACCCUUUUAAGGAUUCCUAAUCUAGUUCCACACUUUUUCUUUUAUUUUACUUACCUAAAUUCAUAUAGUAUAUGUAAACUUCAUUCUAGAUAAUACCAAAUAAUUGACAAUUGGCCUGGUCUCAUGCAGCAAUGUUCUGAGGUACAUAGAUUAUCUAUCUGUGCAUAGAUAAUAAGAUGUUUAAAAAAAUGUUUUAAUGUAAACAUAAUUGCAUCUGUGUAGAAAGGUAGUUGUACUUCAUAUUGAGCAAUUUUACUCAGGUAAGACCAGUUCCUGAAAGAAAACAAAAGAAUGAUAACAUAAUUGUACUUCUAUAAGUUACUUUCCACACUUUACUCUCUUCCACUUAUUUUAGCACUUGGGUUUAAAUGUAGUAGGUACCUUAGGAAAAGAAAUUUGACUUACCUAAAAAAAAAUUUUCCUAAAUGCACAGAACAGCCCCACAACAAUGAAUAUCCAGCUCGCAAUGUCAAUACUAUGAAGUAUGAAAUUGAGAAAUCUAGGUCUGUUGUAUCAGGAUACAGUAGGUGUUCCAUGGAUGCUUUUCCUUAAAUAUUUGCAAAUAUUUCUAAGGUCAUCAAAAUGGUUAGUUGAAAAGAACUGAACAUACACAAUGAUUAGCAUCAUUUUAUUUGCAUCUCUCUCUCUCUCUCUCUCUCUCUCUCUCUCUCUCUCACACACACACACACACACACACAUACACACACUCACACUCACUCCACCCUUCAGAGGAGUAUUCAGCAAAGGGGAUGGGCAUCAGGUAAGCUGGUUGCUCUAUUUGUCUCUGAUCUGGACAUGAAGGGAGAAUUAAGAAAUUACUCAAAAUUUGUUAUGAUCAGAUUUAUAUUUAUUCUUCCCUAUAAACCAAAAAAGGCAGAAGAGCUUCCCAGUAUGCCCUAGGAGAGUUUUGUGCCCUGACUAGUUACAGGAUGACAAAAUGCUGUUUCCUCUUCAUUUUUGUGAUGGCAAAGCAAAAGUUAAUUUGGGUGGUCUGGGCUCCUUGUUCACAGCUUACUAUGCAAAGCAACAUCCUUUGGAGUAAAAAAUACUCUUAUUUUUAAGGAGUACAAUAUUAUGAAAAAGGUUAGAAAAGGCUAUUAUGAAGUAUCAGCACAAUUUACUGAGGAGGAAAACAAAAACACAGAUCAGGAAAUACAAUAAUAGAGUAAGUUUGUAAACAGAACCAGGUUUGAUUCAGAUCUGUUUGACUUCAAAGUCUUAAGUUCAUUUCCACUUUCCUCACAUCUCUAAAAUCAAAACUGAAAUUAGAAUAGGCCUGUCUUACAGAGAGUGCUUUGACAGAAAAGGGGGAAAUUAAAAGUGAGGGAAUAUACAUGUCUUAUAUCUACAAUAUCCCUGGUGCUUUACAUUAAGAAUAUUACUCAGUUUUCUUAAUAGCUUUAACUUAUACAUAAACUAAUAGUGGACAGCCUUGGGGUUUUUUAUGAAUUUAAUUUACUCUUUUAUAAUGUUCUCUGUAUGCCUCAUUAAUUCUAAGAACUGACUUAGUUCUUAGAAAACAGAGGAUUCAGUUCUCAAGAGAAAUGUUGAUGAUAGAAAUUGCACUUAAUCCCAAGCCUUUAGACUGUGUGAUGGUAUAAUUCAUUCAGUAUAUGACUGUACAAAAGAAAAUUAUUAAAUUUGAUAUUUUUAUUUUUUAUGUUUUACUUUUUCUAUGUACCUUUUGAAUUCUUUGUACACAAUUCUAGGAUUUUAGAACAAAAUCUACAUCAUGUGCUGAUUAGAGAAGAUAUAGGAAAGACCAAAUGGCAGAUCAGACUUUGAAUCACUACUUUGAGAGAUGAAAGUAACAUGGGAGCUAGUAUAUCUCAGAGACCCACAGUGAGGUUUUUUUUUCUUUUUUAAAGGAAAAUCUACUCUAAGUAUAAUCCUUAUAGAAAAUCUAUGGAAGUAAACCAGGCCACUGCAUUUUAGUAAUAUUUCAUAAUAUCAUUCACUAAAAUUCAUGAUAUCAAAAAUGAAAAUUCUCUAUCCAGAGAUGUCUCUCAAGCACUCAGUAAAGCAACUUUUUCUUGUCCAGGAAAACCAAGUGUAACUUUUCUGAGAAAUCAUGAACUAUUUCCACAUACUGGGAACUAAUCAUUGUUUAUACUGUCCUCAGUAAGGUCAAGGGCAACAUCCUUUGGUUGCAGGCAUGUGUGAUGGGGAAAUUCAGUUUUUUGGAGUCAUAAUUUGAUUGCAAUGUGACAGCAAUAGUUAAAACCUUGAAUGUAAGAAUUUGCCUUUGAAAGUAGAUGACAGAGGUUAUACUUGGCACUAUCUUUUUGUAUUCAUUAUGCAAAACAAAUAAUUAAGAAAUCUUCCUAGCAAGCACAAGAGGCCUUGGGUUCCAGUGCCAGCACCAUAAAACAAAAUGGCAACAACAAAAAAGUUUAACAGGGUUGGAGAUACAGCUCAGUGGUAGAGUGCUUGCCUAGCAUGGUCAAGACCCUUGGUCUGAUCCUCAGCUCUAAAAAAUAAAAACAAAAAAUAAAUAAACACACACACACACACACACACACACACCAAAAAACAAAACAAAACAAAAAAAACAGAAGUGUGAAUGUUUGGACAGAAUGUAAAAUAGCAUAGUUAUACAACUAUGGUUAUACAACUAAGGUAAUUCUCUGUUAGAGACAUUAAUGACAGUUGUUUAUUUAACAAAUACUUCCUUGGCAUCCAUUCUGUAGGUUCUGGGAUAGUCUGUGAAUGAAUGAGAAAGAAAGCCUUUCUGCUCUCAUGGAAGUUUCCUUUUGGAAGACAAUAAAAUUGAAUCAUUUCAGAUGUCAUUCUGAAGAAACUCCAGAGGAUCUGCUGCCAGUGCUUCUCCAACAUAGUGGAACAAUAGCACUGAGCUCAGGACUCCACUGCAAAGUCAGCUGUUUAUCUCUUGAGUUCAUUGGACCAGUGACCCCCGCCUGCCCCAAGCAUGCAGUCCUGUCAUCUUCACCGGUGUGAUAGAGAAAAUCAGAGAGGUUGAAGAUCACUUGCCCAAGAGUACAGAAUUGGGAAACUGUACACAGGAUUGGAGCUCAGGACUACUUCUCUCCAAAGCCACCUAUGCCACCUUCUCUAAAAGGACUCAUGAGUUUCUUCUGUCCUCAUGGCUGUUUUUGCCUCUCAUGGAACCUGUUAGCUGAGGGCCAAGGAUUGAACUCAGGACCUUGUACAUCCUAAGCAGCGCUCUGCCACUGAGCUAAAUCCCCAUCCCUUGUAUGUGUUUUAAUUGUAUAAAUACUACUGAUUUAAAAUAAAUUUUAUUAUGGAAAAUUUCAAACAUAAAAACAGAAUAUUAUAACAAACUUGCCUAUAUCUAUUAUCCAGCUGUGAUAAUUAUCAAUUCUUUCAAAAUAUAUUUUAUCUAUAUCCUCA